rnacentral:rRNA from 1 species
CUAACUGGGCGCUUGAGUAUCGUGCGGCAGACGCGAACCCGUGUGAUCUACCCUUGGUCAGGGUGAAGUGGGGGUAAAACCUCAUGGAGGCCCGAACUGAUGUGGGUUGAAAACCGCUCGGAUGAACUGAGGGUAGGAGCGAAAGACCAAUCAAACUCGGAGAUAGCUCGUACUCCCCGAAAUAGCUCUAGGGCUAGCCUCAAGUUAUAGUAUUGCGCAGGUAGAGCACUGAUUGGGCUAGGGCUGUCACAACAGUACCAAACCCAGACAAACUCCGAAUUGCGCUAAUAUGUUUCUUGGGAGUCAGGCGACGAGGGAUAAGCUUCGACGCCAAAAGGGAAACAACCCAGACCGCCAGCUAAGGUCCCGAAAUCGACGUUAACAGAGAAAGGAUGUUGAGUUGCUCAGACAACUAGGAUGUUUGCUUAGAAGCAGCAAUCAUUUAAAGAGUGCGUAAUAGCUCACUAGUCAAGCGACUUAGCGCCGACAAUUCUCGGG